AUUUACUGGGGGACAACAUUCCGAAAGGAAUGCUAAUACCGCAUACGUCCUACGGGAGAAAGCAGGGGAUCUUCGGACCUUGCGCUAAAUGAUGAGCCUAAGUCGGAUUAGCUAGUUGGUGGGGUAAAGGCCUACCAAGGCGACGAUCUGUAGCGGGUCUGAGAGGAUGAUCCGCCACACUGGGACUGAGACACGGCCCAGACUCCUACGGGAGGCAGCAGUGGGGAAUAUUGGACAAUGGGCGGAAGCCUGAUCCAGCCAUGCCGCGUGUGUGAAGAAGGCCUUAUGGUUGUAAAGCACUUUAAGCGAGGAGGAGGCUACUUAGAUUAAUACUCUAGGAUAGUGGACGUUACUCCCAGAAUAAGCACCGGCUAACUCUGUGCCAGCAGCCGCGGUAAU
rnacentral:rRNA from 1 species